rnacentral:rRNA from 1 species
CCUACGGGUGGCAGCAGUGAGGAAUAUUGGUCAAUGGUCGGGAGACUGAACCAGCCAAGCCGCGUGAGGGAUGAAGGUACUGAGUGUCGUAAACCUCUUUUGCCAGGGAACAAAGCCGUGCACGUGUCCCCGGAUGAGUGUACCUUCAGAAAAAGCAUCGGCUAAAUCCGUUCACGCAGCCGCGGUAAUGCGGAGGAUGCGAGGGUUAUCCGGUUUCACUGGGUAUAAGGGGCGCGCAGGCGGGCUGUUAAGUCAGCGGUAAAAUCCCGGGGCUCAACCCCGGCCCUCCGUUGAAACUGGCAGUCUUGAGUUGGAGAGAAGUAUGCUGAAAGCGCGGUGU